AGGAGGGGAGGAAGAAAGAAAAAAUGAAAGGAAGAAAGGAAGAAAGAAAGAAACGAAUUACUCUAUGAUGUUUAAAAGAGCAGAGCAGCAGAUCCCUCUCCAGGGAAAACCCCACUUAUAUCCUCACAGCAAUUUCCUUGACUGCAUCCUGUGUCUUAGUGAUAUGUAGGACAUUAUAAUCAUAAUAUUUAUCUAAGAAAGCUUUGUGUACUUGUCUUUGAGAUGAAGAACUCUACAUUCAUGGAUAGUAUUGUUUGUGAGGACAACAAUGAAGAAAGCCCUACAAAUGACCAAGCUCAGAUUGAAAAUAAUUUUGAUCAUCUUUUGUCACACAUGAGACUGAAGAUGAUAAUAUUUGGAGGUGAUAAAGCUGUGAGAACCCAUUAUCUAAUCCUGAGCGUUUAAUAAAGGAGGCUUCAGAGGUCCAAGGAUGAAGAAAUACUUCAAAGUGACCUAAUGAUGCUGAACGCUCACAAGCAGAAUAUGUUGCCUUGUUGCCAUGGUGCCACGUUCUCCUCUUGUUCUCUCUUUCAUUGUCUGUAUCCAAGUUUCUGCCUCAAGCUUUGAUAAAGUAUUGCUCUCA